rnacentral:rRNA from 1 species
UUAAGCGACUAAGCGUACACGGUGGAUGCCCUGGCAGUCAGAGGCGAUGAAGGACGUGCUAAUCUGCGAUAAGCGUCGGUAAGGUGAUAUGAACCGUUAUAACCGGCGAUUUCCGAAUGGGGAAACCCAGUGUGAUUCGUCACACUAUCAUUAACUGAAUCCAUAGGUUAAUGAGGCGAACCGGGGGAACUGAAACAUCUAAGUACCCCGAGGAAAAGAAAUCAACCGAGAUUCCCCCAGUAGCGGCGAGCGAACGGGGAGCAGCCCAGAGCCUGAAUCAGUGUGUGUGUUAGUGGAAGCGUCUGGAAAGGCGUGCGAUACAGGGUGACAGCCCCGUACACAAAAAUGCACAUAUUGUGAGCUCGAUGAGUAGGGCGGGACACGUGGUAUCCUGUCUGAAUAUGGGGGGACCAUCCUCCAAGGCUAAAUACUCCUGACUGACCGAUAGUGAACCAGUACCGUGAGGGAAAGGCGAAAAGAACCCCGGCGAGGGGAGUGAAAAAGAACCUGAAACCGUGUACGUACAAGCAGUGGGAGCACGCUUAGGCGUGUGACUGCGUACCUUUUGUAUAAUGGGUCAGCGACUUAUAUUCUGUAGCAAGGUUAACCGAAUAGGGGAGCCGAAGGGAAACCGAGUCUUAACUGGGCGUUAAGUUGCAGGGUAUAGACCCGAAACCCGGUGAUCUAGCCAUGGGCAGGUUGAAGGUUGGGUAACACUAACUGGAGGACCGAACCGACUAAUGUUGAAAAAUUAGCGGAUGACUUGUGGCUGGGGGUGAAAGGCCAAUCAAACCGGGAGAUAGCUGGUUCUCCCCGAAAGCUAUUUAGGUAGCGCCUCGUGAAUUCAUCUCCGGGGGUAGAGCACUGUUUCGGCAAGGGGGUCAUCCCGACUUACCAACCCGAUGCAAACUGCGAAUACCGGAGAAUGUUAUCACGGGAGACACACGGCGGGUGCUAACGUCCGUCGUGAAGAGGGAAACAACCCAGACCGCCAGCUAAGGUCCCAAAGUCAUGGUUAAGUGGGAAACGAUGUGGGAAGGCCCAGACAGCCAGGAUGUUGGCUUAGAAGCAGCCAUCAUUUAAAGAAAGCGUAAUAGCUCACUGGUCGAGUCGGCCUGCGCGGAAGAUGUAACGGGGCUAAACCAUGCACCGAAGCUGCGGCAGCGACGCUGAUGCGUUGUUGGGUAGGGGAGCGUUCUGUAAGCCUGUGAAGGUGUACUGUGAGGUAUGCUGGAGGUAUCAGAAGUGCGAAUGCUGACAUAAGUAACGAUAAAGCGGGUGAAAAGCCCGCUCGCCGGAAGACCAAGGGUUCCUGUCCAACGUUAAUCGGGGCAGGGUGAGUCGACCCCUAAGGCGAGGCCGAAAGGCGUAGUCGAUGGGAAACAGGUUAAUAUUCCUGUACUUGGUGUUACUGCGAAGGGGGGACGGAGAAGGCUAUGUUGGCCGGGCGACGGUUGUCCCGGUUUAAGCGUGUAGGCUGGUUUUCCAGGCAAAUCCGGAAAAUCAAGGCUGAGGCGUGAUGACGAGGCACUACGGUGCUGAAGCAACAAAUGCCCUGCUUCCAGGAAAAGCCUCUAAGCAUCAGGUAACAUCAAAUCGUACCCCAAACCGACACAGGUGGUCAGGUAGAGAAUACCAAGGCGCUUGAGAGAACUCGGGUGAAGGAACUAGGCAAAAUGGUGCCGUAACUUCGGGAGAAGGCACGCUGAUAUGUAGGUGAAGCGACUUGCUCGUGGAGCUGAAAUCAGUCGAAGAUACCAGCUGGCUGCAACUGUUUAUUAAAAACACAGCACUGUGCAAACACGAAAGUGGACGUAUACGGUGUGACGCCUGCCCGGUGCCGGAAGGUUAAUUGAUGGGGUCAGCGCAAGCGAAGCUCUUGAUCGAAGCCCCGGUAAACGGCGGCCGUAACUAUAACGGUCCUAAGGUAGCGAAAUUCCUUGUCGGGUAAGUUCCGACCUGCACGAAUGGCGUAAUGAUGGCCAGGCUGUCUCCACCCGAGACUCAGUGAAAUUGAACUCGCUGUGAAGAUGCAGUGUACCCGCGGCAAGACGGAAAGACCCCGUGAACCUUUACUAUAGCUUGACACUGAACAUUGAGCCUUGAUGUGUAGGAUAGGUGGGAGGCUUUGAAGUGUGGACGCCAGUCUGCAUGGAGCCGACCUUGAAAUACCACCCUUUAAUGUUUGAUGUUCUAACGUGGACCCGUGAUCCGGGUUGCGGACAGUGUCUGGUGGGUAGUUUGACUGGGGCGGUCUCCUCCUAAAGAGUAACGGAGGAGCACGAAGGUUGGCUAAUCCUGGUCGGACAUCAGGAGGUUAGUGCAAUGGCAUAAGCCAGCUUGACUGCGAGCGUGACGGCGCGAGCAGGUGCGAAAGCAGGUCAUAGUGAUCCGGUGGUUCUGAAUGGAAGGGCCAUCGCUCAACGGAUAAAAGGUACUCCGGGGAUAACAGGCUGAUACCGCCCAAGAGUUCAUAUCGACGGCGGUGUUUGGCACCUCGAUGUCGGCUCAUCACAUCCUGGGGCUGAAGUAGGUCCCAAGGGUAUGGCUGUUCGCCAUUUAAAGUGGUACGCGAGCUGGGUUUAGAACGUCGUGAGACAGUUCGGUCCCUAUCUGCCGUGGGCGCUGGAGAACUGAGGGGGGCUGCUCCUAGUACGAGAGGACCGGAGUGGACGCAUCACUGGUGUUCGGGUUGUCAUGCCAAUGGCACUGCCCGGUAGCUAAAUGCGGAAGAGAUAAGUGCUGAAAGCAUCUAAGCACGAAACUUGCCCCGAGAUGAGUUCUCCCUGACUCCUUGAGAGUCCUGAAGGAACGUUGAAGACGACGACGUUGAUAGGCCGGGUGUGUAAGCGCAGCGAUGCGUUGAGCUAACCGGUACUAAUGAACCGUGAGGCUUAACCUU